rnacentral:rRNA from 1 species
GACGAACGCUGGCGGCGUGCUUAACACAUGCAAGUCGAACGGUAAGGCCCUUCGGGGUACACGAGUGGCGAACGGGUGAGUAACACGUGGGUGAUCUGCCCUGCACUUCGGGAUAAGCCUGGGAAACUGGGUCUAAUACCGGAUAGGACCCUGGGAUGCAUGUCCUGUGGUGGAAAGCCUUUGCGGUGUGGGAUGGGCCCGCGGCCUAUCAGCUUGUUGGUGGGGUGAUGGCCUACCAAGGCGACGACGGGUAGCCGGCCUGAGAGGGUGACCGGCCACACUGGGGCUGAGAUACGGCCCAGACUCCUACGGGAGGCAGCAGUGGGGAAUAUUGCACAAUGGGCGCAAGCCUGAUGCAGCGACGCCGCGUGAGGGAUGACGGCCUUCGGGUUGUAAACCUCUUUCAGCACCGACGAAGCGCAAGUGACGGUAGGUGCAGAAGAAGGACCGGCCAACUACGUGCCAGCAGCCGCCGUAA